GCAUAACGCGAAGAACCUUACCAAGGUUUGACAUCCCCUUGACAGAAGCAGAGAUGUUUCUCCCCUUCGGGGGCAAGGGAGACAGGUGGUGCAUGGUUGUCGUCAGCUCGUGUCGUGAGAUGUUGGGUUAAGUCCCGCAACGAGCGCAACCCUUAUCCUUAGUUGCCAGCACAUAAUGGUGGGCACUCUAAGGAGACUGCCGAUGAUAAAUCGGAGGAAGGUGGGGAUGACGUCAAAUCAUCAUGCCCCUUAUAUCUUGGGCUACACACGUGCUACAAUGGUCGGUACAACGGGGAGCGAAGGAGUGAUCCGGAGCAAAUCCCAAUAAACCGAUCCCAGUUCGGAUUGUAGGCUGCAACUCGCCUACGUGAAGUCGGAGUUGCCAGUAAUCGCGAAUCAGCUACGGCGCCGUGAAUACGUUCCCGGGUCUUGUACACACCG
rnacentral:rRNA from 1 species